rnacentral:rRNA from 1 species
UACGAGGGGGGCGAGCGUUGUUCGGAAUUAUUGGGCGUAAAGGGUGCGUAGGCGGUUUGGUAAGUCUUGUGUGAAAUCUACAGGCUCAACUUGUAGUCUGCACGAGAAACUGCCGGGCUUGAGUGUGGGAGAGGUGAGUGGAAUUCCUGGUGUAGCAGUGAAAUGCGUAGAUAUCAGGAGGAACACCUGUGGCGAAAGCGGCUCACUGGACCAUAACUGACGCUGAUGCACGAAAGCUAGGGGAGCAAACAGG